CAAACGUCCAUUAACUGUCAAUAAAGAGGAAAGAGAAAAGAACAGAAAAGGGAGGAUGACCAGUGUAAGACACAUUCUGAAGGAGCGACUGAGAGGAGUCUUGUGGACCUCUGAUUUCUUCUCUAUAAAUGUAAGAUCUCUAAGGCUGCAUGCAGUUAAAUAUGCGGCGAGGAAAAGGCACGCACAGCCAUGGGCCGUGACUGGCCUAGCAAAUCAGAGCAUGGCUUCCUGGCUGACCCUGUGAUGGCUUCAGGACUCUGUAAGUGCCCCACGCCCGGCCAAUGGGACCCAGCCCCAGAUUUUGCUGAAACCAUUGGGAAAGACAACCCUCUUUUUGAAGUCGCUGCACCUCCAGCUGAACAAAACCCGGAGUCAUGUUUGCCAUCCCAAAGAAAGCCUGGCUGAAAAUGAAGCCAGCGUCAAAGAAAAUAGAACCAAGAGUUUGAAAGACAAAGACUUGUCUGACGACAGGGUUUGGGGCCCUGAAUCACUCACACCCAGACUUUUCCAACACGAGAGCCACCCUUCCUCAUUCUCUCUCCUACCUAGGCCAUUAGCCCGUGGUUGGAGGUUUUCAACAAAUGUUGACUAAUUUGUUUGCUAAUGAAAUAAAAAUCCUUAGUCACAGGUCACAAGGCAAGGAGGUUGUUCAAAUUCAUCAUUGCAGUGUUUUGGCUAUUCAUUCAAAAAUACAUAACACGUACACAUAUGGAAUCAUGAAGUUUUUUAAUUCAAUCAGCAGAGCAACCAAAAACAUUAAAAUUAGGCACUAUCCAUAAAUUAUUCUUCUUCUUUGUACAAUUCACCAAAUAACUUCCUUACUUGUUACCAAAAACCGUGCAGCUUGAAGGAUGAGUCAUAGUCCGAUUGUCUGACUCUAGCUUAAAAUCUCAGAGCUCAGAGCUCUCUACUCUAUUGUUCCUUACUAUUUGUGAGAUCCGGAAACCGUCACUUACCCUCAGCUCCUGCCUCUGUAAGAAUCGGCUAGAAUAAGGUGUUCAUUAACCAGGUAGAUUUGAGGUUUUCCUCUUGUUCAUAUAGAUUUUUGAAAAUUAAAAGGAUGGCUUCAAGUGAAGAAUUCUUUAUUCUUUUAACAUGCUGCCAUCAUGUGGUUGCUGUGUUCAUUCACAUUCAAAUAUUUCAAAGAUAACAAUGUUUAUAGUGACCCCUCAUUCAGCAAAGUGCAAAGGAAGAAGCCCCAGAAGAAAAUGAAAGGGAAUCGAAUACCUUCUUCCCAGAAGCUUAGUCCAGAGUAUGG
rnacentral:lncRNA from 1 species